rnacentral:rRNA from 1 species
GUGGGGAAUAUUGGACAAUGGGCGCAAGCCUGAUCCAGCAAUGCCGCGUGGGUGAAGAAGGCCUGCGGGUUGUAAAGCCCUUUAGGCGGGGAGGAACGGCGGCGCGCGAACACCGUGUCGUUCUGACGUUACCCGCGAAAUAAGCACCGGCUAACUCCGUGCCAGCAGCCGCGGUAAUACGGAGGGUGCGAGCGUUAAUCGGAAUUACUGGGCGUAAAGCGUGCGUAGGCGGUGGGGUCAGUCAGCCGUGAAAGCCCUGGGCUUAACCUGGGAACGGCGGUUGAGACGGCCCGACUGGAGUGGGCUAGAGGAUCGUGGAAUUCCGGGUGUAGCGGUGAAAUGCGUAGAGAUCCGGAGGAACACCGAUGGCGAAGGCAGCGGUCUGGGGCCACACUGACGCUGAGGCACGAAAGCGUGGGGAGCAAACAGGAUUAGAAACCCUUGUAGUCC